AACGAACGCUGGCGGCAGGCCUAACACAUGCAAGUCGAGCGAGGACUUCGGUCCUAGCGGCGGACGGGUGAGUAACGCGUGGGAACGUGCCCUUUGCAUCGGAAUAGCCCUGGGAAACUGGGAGUAAUACCGGAUGAGCCCUUUGGGGGAAAGAUUUAUCGGCGAAGGAUCGGCCCGCGUUGGAUUAGGUAGUUGGUGGGGUAAUGGCCUACCAAGCCGACGAUCCAUAGCUGGUUUGAGAGGAUGAUCAGCCACACUGGGACUGAGACACGGCCCAGACUCCUACGGGAGGCAGCAGUGGGGAAUCUUAGACAAUGGGGGAAACCCUGAUCUAGCCAUGCCGCGUGAGCGAUGAAGGCCUUAGGGUUGUAAAGCUCUUUCAGCUGGGAAGAUAAUGACGGUACCAGCAGAAGAAGCCCCGGCUAACUCCGUG
rnacentral:rRNA from 1 species